rnacentral:rRNA from 1 species
UGGGGAAUAUUGGACAAUGGGCGCAAGCCUGAUCCAGCGACGCCGCGUGUGUGAAGAAGGCCUGCGGGUUGUAAAGCACUUUCGAUGGGAACGAAAUGUGCCGGGUUAAUACCCCGGUAAGCUGACGUUACUCAAUGAAGAAGCACCGGCUAACUCUGUGCCAGCAGCCGCGGUAAUACAGAGGGUGCAAGCGUUAAUCGGAAUGACUGGGCGUAAAGGGCGCGUAGGUGGAUACGUAAGUAAAUUGUGAAAGACCCGGGCUUAACCUGGGAAGGUCAAUUUAAACGGCGUGUCUGGAGUGGAGUAGAGGGAAGUAGAAUUUCCGGUGUAGCGGUGAAAUGCGUAGAUAUCGGAAGGAAUACCGGUGGCGAAGGCGUCUUCCUGGACUCUAACUGACACUGAGGCGCGAAAGCAUGGGGAUCAAACAGGAUUAGAUACCCACGUAGUCCCUGAGCGGGCUGGCAAGGCGCAU